AGGUGCUGCAUGGCUGUCGUCAGCUCGUGUCGUGAGAUGUUGGGUUAACGUCCCGUAACGAGCGCAACCCUUGUCCUUAGUUACCAGCACGUUAUGGUGGGCACUCUAAGGAGACUGCCGGUGACAAACCGGAGGAAGGUGGGGAUGGCGUCAAGUCAUCAUGGCCCUUACGGCCUGGGCUACACACGUGCUACAAUGGUCGGUACAAAGGGUUGCCAAGCCGCGAGGUGGAGCUAAUCCCAUAAAACCGAUCGUAGUCCGGAUCGCAGUCUGCAACUCGACUGCGUGAAGUCGGAAUCGCUAGUAAUCGUGAAUCAGAAUGUCACGGUGAAUACGUUCCCGGGCCUU
rnacentral:rRNA from 1 species